AUUAGCAAAAAAGAGGGGAAGAACCAAUACGCACAUGUGGGACCCAUUCAAAAUGGUAUAUUUGUCUUGCAGUCUAGUUUUUAAUUCACUACAAUUUAGUGUUCAGUGAAAAAACAUCUUGGUGAACUUAGCCAAUUGUUUAGCAGCUUCCAUUACUAAUUUAGAAAUAAUUAUUGAAAUGAAUUAUGUGUGAGUAUUCCAAGUUGGACUAUUUAAAGGGACACUCCGGAUCUCUAAAGGACUUCAGCUCAAGUG